UUUUUUUACAUAUUAUUAAUAAGCUAUAUCACAUUAUUGUUAGUAUAAUUACUCUAACAACGCUUGCAACAAUCGCAAUAUCAAAUUGUAUAUUAUUUUUUUAUACACAUUAUGGUGGAAUUGUAUGAUUUAGACUGAUAUGGCUAAUUAUUGUCUUCAUUCCCAGCACUGUUAUUACUUUCUCAGAUUAAUCGCCGUCGGCAUUCUGUUGACCUUGGACAAUCCCUCGCUACAUUCUUGCACUCCCAGUCUAUCAACGUU